UACGGGGGAUGCAAGCGUUAUCCGGAAUUAUUGGGCGUAAAGCGUCUGUAGGUUGUUUGAAAAGUCCGGUGUCAAAGACCAGAGCUUAACUCUGGGCCGGCAUUGGAAACUCUCAAACUAGAGCACGGUAGAGGUAUGGGGAACUCCUUGUGUAGCGGUGAAAUGCGUAGAUAUAAGGAAGAACACCGGUUGCGAAAGCGCCAUACUGGGCCGUAGCUGACACUCAGAGACGAAAGCUAGGGUAGCAAAAGGG
rnacentral:rRNA from 1 species